rnacentral:rRNA from 1 species
CCUACGGGUGGCUGCAGUGGGGAAUAUUGGACAAUGGGCGAAAGCCUGAUCCAGCCAUGCCGCGUGUGUGAAGAAGGCCUUCGGGUUGUAAAGCACUUUCAGUGGGGAAGAAAGCCUUGGGGCUAAUACCCUCGAGGAAGGACAUCACCCACAGAAGAAGCACCGGCUAACUCCGUGCCAGCAGCCGCGGUAAUACGGAGGGUGCGAGCGUUAAUCGGAAUUACUGGGCGUAAAGCGCGCGUAGGCGGUCUGAUAAGCCGGUUGUGAAAGCCCCGGGCUCAACCUGGGAACGGCAUCCGGAACUGUCAGGCUAGAGUGCAGGAGAGGAAGGUAGAAUUCUCGGUGUAGCGGUGAAAUGCGUAGAGAUCGGGAGGAAUACCAGUGGCGAAGGCGGCCUUCUGGACUGACACUGACGCUGAGGUGCGAAAGCGUGGGUAGCAAACAGGAUUAGAUACCCUGGUAGUC